AGAUGCCUGUGAAUACACAACGAUGUUUUGUGUCUUCGUGCAGGAACAGUAUUACUGUUUAUCCUGAUGUGACAACAUUCAGAUUUCCAUGAAGCCGAAGCAAGUUAUUGAAGUGGAUUGCUGCAAUUGGCUAUGACCUUGAUGCCAGUAAUGCUGAAACAUUUAAAACUAAAUAUGUGUGUUCCGAACAUUUUGAUAUUGGAGCUUUCACUACAUGUGACUGCAUCAAAUUGAAUUGUGGUGCUGUUACAACAUAUUUUAAUUCUGUGGACAGUGAAGUAUGGAUCUAUUGUUUUAAUUUAUUAUGUCUAGAAUGCUGCCAAAUAUAGGUGAAAUGUUUAUGUUACAUAACAUAACUUGUAAGAUCUACUUGUGCAGAUAUAUAUUUUCACCUGCCUCUAAGGUCCUUUGUUAUUCACAGGUAGCAUUUACAUGUGAUGGGCUGAAGCAGUAUUUAACAUUAUUGGUCAACAUGCAGUCCAUCAUUACAACCUUUGUACAGGCGCAUACAAACAUAUAUGUAUGGGGUAUUUCACACUUUUUAUUUGAUGUUAAAGAUUGGUAUGGUGACCGGGAUACUUUUUUUAUUAAACCUUCUACACAGUUCUCUACUGUUUCCCUUAUCUGUUGCCUUAACAUUUUUUUCCGAUCAGUCCAAUUCCUUGAAUCACGUUGCAAAAAAAGUCACAAUACAUGGGAUUGGGCCACUCUCUUCAAAGAAUUGUAAUUCGAGUUUAAACAUAGCAAGGCUGACCAUAAAUUGUAGAGGCAAAUUUAAAAUGUUGAUCUUCAACAUAUUUACAACCUAUGAUCAUGUGAUGUGUAUAUACAGCUAGUUAGAAAGUAAGUUGUAGUAUAGUAUGCAAUUGAACCUUCAAUAAGUUCUACAUCCACACUUAAAAACUUAUUUUUACUUGAUGUUUUAUGUUCAAUAACUAUUCAGUAUAAAGGUUUUUUUUUUACAUUAUAAACUACAAAAGUAUUCAGAUUUGUAAAUGUAACGAAAUUCCACUGAGCCCUCUACCUUUUUUUUUAACUACCAUUUCUGCCUUGUGGCCUUUUUUUUCUUACUUUUGUGUUCAUUAUAAGUUACAACCACUCAUUUGAUUUAUUGUGUUAAAUUAAAUGAUAUUUAAAAUUGGAUGUCACUUCAUAAGAACAUUCAGGAUUACCUGUAUUCACAGCGCACAACUAUACAAAAGUUUUUUAUGUAUGUAAAAGUGUUUUACGUAAGACAGUGGACACAUACAUGUAUUGAGUAACAUGAGAAAAUUGAAAUAUCUAAAAUAAAAUUAAAAGGAUACAAGCAUUUAUAUACAUGCAGCUCCCAAAAAAGUCUGCAUACUAAAAAAUAACACAUGAUUUUAAAUGAAUUCUUACCAUCUUAUAAACUAGUAGUAUUUUGUUAUUUGGUUUCAAAUGAAUUGUUUUUGGUUAAUUUAUUUGACUGUAGGGAUUAAAUAUCAUUUGUAACAUAAAGUGUGAAAAGUAGUAUUGAUCGAUUUAACUGUAAGUACAAAAUAUGUGUUACAUUUCUUGUAAGUUAAAAUUGUUCAGGUAUUAUAAAUUAGCUGGAAAAAGCAAACUCAUGACUAGAAUAAAUUGUACUGUUAGGUAUGUUUCGAAGAAAGACUACCUGUUGCAGUCGUUACCAUGUGUAUGUACCACAUUUUUAUUGUCAUGAUAACUGCCAUAAUUUUGUACAAAUAAAUCACUUAAUACAUAAAAUAUGGUUAUGGAAAUUCUCAGUUGAGUUUGUUAAUGGAUAUAAGCCCACCAAAGGGGUAUAAAUGGGGAAGAUUUUUUGAAAAACAUUUAAAUCACUUCAACUCCCAUAACAUGAAACAUACAUAUCACAUCUGUUUGAACAUAUUAUAACUUAUAGGAGUAUUACCAAAAAUUUUGUCUACAUAUUUGGGUAUGACCAGCCAUAACUGUUAAGGGGUGGAAAAAAACAAGGGUUUGAGGACAAAAAACUCCUAACUAUCUUAGUAGGCACACCAUAGAAUCUGUUCAAAUUUGUUGUCAAUUUUAAAAAUUUUUAUAACCACGAAGGGUGCUGUGGGUAAAAUAAUGAGGGGUUAAUGGACAAACAAAUAUUCUUAAUUACUCUAUUAAGUUAACUAUAAAAUCUAUAACAAUUAUUGCAAUUCUUCUAAAACUUGUAUAAAACUUUGAUCUGAAACAAUUUUUUUAGGACUAACCAGUGCUGCAAGAAGUUGAAAAUACCAGUGGGUGGAAAUUUAAAAAAAAUAAUAAUAAAA